rnacentral:rRNA from 7 species
CUAGUAACGGCGAGUGAAGCGGCAAUAGCUCAAAUUUGAAAUCUGGCCCUCGUGGUCCGAAUUGUAAUUUGUAGAGGAUGCUUUUGGUGCGGUGCCUUCUGAGUUCCCUGGAACGGGACGCCAGAGAGGGUGAGAGCCCCGUACGGUUGGACACCUAUCCUAUAUAUAGCUCCUUCGACGAGUCGAGUAGUUUGGGAAUGCUGCUCUAAAUGGGAGGUAAAUUUCUUCUAAAGCUAAAUACCGGCCAGAGACCGAUAGCGCACAAGUAGAGUGAUCGAAAGAUGAAAAGCACUUUGAAAAGAGGGUUAAAUAGCACGUGAAAUUGUUGAAAGGGAAGCGUUUGCGACCAGACCUUUCCCAGGGGGAUCAUCCGGUGUUCUCACCGGUGCACUUCCCCUGGUUUAGGCCAGCAUCGGUUUCCUUAGGGGGAUAAAGGCUUGGGGAACGUAGCUCUUUCGGGAGUGUUAUAGCCCCUCGCGUAAUACCCCUCGGGGGACCGAGGACCGCG